UAUUUUAUUAGGUUGAAAACUUUGACUUUUAUUUAGCAGAUGCCGCUAGGCACCUACUACCAUCACGUUAGUUGCAAUGCGGGGACUAGCUGACUGAAGAUUUUAACUUGGGUCAGAGAUAGCAACCUAUGCCUCUCUGAUGAGCCUCUAAGAGGCGAAAUCGUCGAUUAGAGUGCUGGUUUGCGCUCUCUGAACUAAGUGAAAAUUAAGGCAGUUUUGGCUUCGCAUUGUAACUGAAUAAAAAUGGUAUACAUUUUUAUUUCCUUUCUUUUUUGUUGGAAUCUGCUUAUGAACUUUUUCUAUUAUUUAUUUUACGUACUUGAUGACAGAAUUUUUUUUCUAUCUUUCUUUAAAUGUAGUACAGAAUAAUUAUUGUAUUAAUUACGAUAGUUUAUGUUGUACCUAUUGAUGCUAAAAUAUGAUAGCACAAAUUUAAAUAGUAAUUCAAGGUCCAAAUGAAAAUCUUUAAGACAAAGAAUUAGUAAGUGUUGAGUUCGGUUUUUUACUAUUUACUACUACAUCUGAUUUCAGUUCUUCCCAUAAGAAAAAUUUGUAAAUUUCGGUAUUCUUAUGCAUUUUCUUCUAGAAACUGUUGUGUAAACUUUCAGUUCUCCAUUAUCUUAUAGGUAUCGAGGUGUCUUACAUUAUUGCUUUUAUAUCUUUCUUUGUUUAUACAGAUGUGUCUCUUAUAUCUGUGUGCCUAUAAAUGUAUCUAUGUAGGGGAGGGGCUUGUACCUUGGGCCACCCCAUGUUUCUUUUAAUUUGCUCGCGAAAUGUCUGUGUUUCUUAUCUCAAGUUCUUCUACAAUCGUGGUCAUUCUGUGGUUAGUUGUUGAACGUGAUUAGAAAUCAUUUGCGACUAUCGUAAAAAUAUAGUGUUUUAUUUCGUGAAAAGUAACUAUUUAUAGGAUAGAUUAAUUUUUGUGUUAACAGAUAUCGUAAAUUAAAUCAAAUGGUGUGUAUGCCUAUACUAACAGGUAGUUAAACAACAUAGUGAGAAAUAUAACAAAACUGUUUUAUAAGGUUAAAUUCACAUUUAUUUUCUUUUUGGCCGAGUCUUUUACCUUGACCCGCUAUAACGGCUUGUAUUGGACCGUAAAACAUUAAUGGGAAAAAAGAAGACACAUUUUUAUGUUGCACAAGUAACUGCUGUAAGUCCCCAUUUAACGGUCCAGUAUCUGAAGAGAAUUCUGAACAGCUACAAAUUUUCUGGCCCAAGUGGUGAACAAUUUGACAUUGACAUUGAAGAGUAACUUGAAGAUUGAAACUUAAACCACCAAGUCAGGCUGGGUUGUCUGAAAGGCAAAAAGGAGUACAUGUCUUAGAUUUUGAGAGGUUCAUUGUUAAAUAACACAAUUUUUUGUGUAUAUUUUUAAAUGUUUAAGGGUGGUUCAACGUACAAGACUACGUGUUUCAAGGUACAGUACUGGUUUGUACCUCGACCAAAUUAGCUAUAAUUAAUAAAAUUUUAAAAAAUGUGUUUGGUUUUGUAUUAUUUAAAUGACCUUUUAAUAUAGUAUAUAUACUAUGGUGUGUAAACUACAAGUUAGUCCAAAAAUGUUUCCUUGAAAUUUGAAAACUUAAAAAUAAUUGAGCUUAGAAAAAUCCGGUUCAAGGUACAAGCCUCUCCCCUACACAUUUAUAUGUCUGGUCAUUAAUUUCAUUAUGUUCUUUUUUGUCAUCACAUCUGUCUAUUUUUUUCUAUUUCCUUUUAAUCAUCAUUCAACCUUCGUUUGUCUACUGGACAUAAGAUCUCCCUCAUAAUUUUCCAUCUGUUUCAAUCUCGUGGCUCUUGCAUCCAAUUCCUAGGACAACGUCUCAUCAUCAGUACCUGUUGGUGGAUGACCUCUGCUUCGGUAGGCAUCAUUGUCUUGGUCUCCAUUCCUGUAUCUGAGUUAACCAUCUGUAAUCUGUCAUUCGAGCUAUAUGACCUGCUCAGUUCCAUUUCAGUGUUGCUAUUUUCUCCACUGCUUCAACCACUUUUAAUGGCUCUCCACUCCAUCCACCUUUUAAUAUUAUUUAAUAAUAUAAAUUGGCUGGUAGAUAAAAUACACUCGCCCACUUAGUUUUAAAAGACUCUGCACUGAUAUUAACGACUAACUAGUGAUAAAUUGUUUGCGAAAAAAUUUAUAAAAUGUUUUAUAAUCCCUAUUCUUUGAUGGUGUCGUAGACGAUUUAAGAUAGUCGAUUUUGUAUAUAAUGACAUAAUGUUGUAGGGUUCUUCGGGAAUUGAUGUAAAAAGCAAGAACACCACAGAAAAUAAAAACUGAAACUCAUUUUAAUGUAUAAAUCUCAUGCUAACAAUGGCACGUUAACUUUAAAUAGCUAUAAAGAAAUAAUAGAUCUACCAGAAACUUAACAUGUGUUCACAAAUGACCAGUACACUAUUAAAAAAAACUUACUUUUCGUGUCCGGAACACCAUCAAAUUUAAAUUCUGUACUUCCGAUGGUUGGUCACACUGAUGGCCCUGUCAUUUGCUAAAAUUAGGUCUUCUUCUGUGCAGGUAUUUCUCAUCUCUGUGCAUGAUAGCAGAUUGUGACUAUUCUUGACCGCGCCACAGUCGCAGGUAUCGUUCUCCUGGUAUCCCCAUUUUUUUUCAGGUUACUAGCACAACGUGAAACUCUGUUUAGUGCUGUCCAUGUUAAAUAAGGUAAAUUGAGAUCUUGGUCUACUUGGCUGGUAGGUAGGUAUAAUACUAAUAGUCAUACAAGGAAUGUCUUCUAUCUGUCUCCUGCUUUUUUCGUUCUACCUCUGACGUGAUUUGUCUCCUGGUAGGUGGUAUUCCAACCAGAGGAUAGACCUCUUCGAUAGAUGUCGGUUUCAGGCAACCCGAUAUUAUACAAACCGUUUCAUUUAGAGCCACGUCGACAUUUUUAGCGUGAGCAGACUUUGCCCACACUUGUGUCCAAACUGCGACUGAAGAUUAACAAAAAUAAGACCAAGAAACUAAUAACUUAGUCAUAUAAAAUGAGUGAAAAAUAAUUUAUUUUCUUUUUAGUCAUAUAAAUUUUGAACAAAGAACAAUCAGAAUCUUAACCUGUACCAUCAGUUGCACUAUACUCUGGUUAUCACUUAACUAACUCGAAGGGUUUCUUCCUAUAAGGAGCUGGAUGGCCUCAACAUUGACGUGUUGAAGAAAUCGUUGUUCGUGGCCCUUCGCAAAUUUUUCACUGUUAAUAGAUUAAAGUUGGCAUAACCAAAUUUCACGUAUUAUUUUUUUCUAUCGUGAUAGACAAUCAUAUUGGACAUCAGUUUCCCAUAGUUUUUACUUUUUUCAUAGUAUCUAAUUUGAGCUAUUACAAAGAUGUUUCACAAUAAACAUCUCGAUGUAAAUUUCAUUAGUGAAACUCUUAUUGUAUAUUUGUCACUUAAAUAAAUAUGUAUUUCUUAAGUAAAAGUUUCGUAGUUAAUAAUAGAUGAUUCUAACGAAUAGACUGAACUGACACAUAAAGUUACGAAGAUCACCAAAUUAAAACUUCCAAUAAAGUCUAAUAUUAUUUUGAAAGAAAUUUUUUCUGCUUUUACCACAAUUCUCUAAACACCCUACACAUGUCCACUUACUUAAUUUAUUAUAAAAUAUAUAAAGUACACAGUAUUAAAAUAUGUUUCUUGUGUCAAA
rnacentral:lncRNA from 1 species